CAAGUCGCACGAGUUCAGACUCGUGGCGAAUAGCUCAGUAACACGUGGCCAAACUACCCUUCGGACCACUAUACCCUCGGGAAACUGAGGCUAAUAGUGGAUACCACAGUCCACCUGGAAUGAGGACUGUGUCAAAUGCUCCGGCGCCGAAGGAUGUGGCUGCGGCCGAUUAGGUAGACGGUGGGGUAACGGCCCACCGUGCCAAUAAUCGGUACGGGUCAUGAGAGUGAGAACCCGGAGACGGAAUCUGAGACAAGAUUCCGGGCCCUACGGGGCGCAGCAGGCGCGAAACCUUUACACUGCACGACAGUGCGAUAAGGGAAUCCCAAGUGCGUAGGCAUAGAGCCUACGCUUUUGUCUACCGUAGGGAGGUAGACGAAUAAGGGCUGGGCAAGACCGGUGCCAGCCGCCGCGGUAAUACCGGCAGCCCGAGUGAUGGCCGAUCUUAUUGGGCCUAAAGCGUCCGUAGCUGGCCGCACAAGUCCAUCGGAAAAUCCACCCGCUCAACGGGUGGGCGUCCGGUGGAAACUGUGUGGCUUGGGACCGGAAGGCGCGACGGGUACGUCCGGGGUAGGAGUGAAAUCCC
rnacentral:rRNA from 1 species